rfam:Roseivivax halodurans JCM 10272 contig8, whole genome shotgun sequence.
GGAUCGGGAGGCCUUCGGUGGGACGAAGGCCAGGCAUUGAUCGGAACACGCUCUCUCGGAUGAGCCCGCGGCCGGGGCCCGACGGUCCGCGCG